UACGUAGCUCAGUUGGUUAGAGCACAUCACUCAUAAUGAUGGGGUCACAGGUUCGAAUCCCGUCGUA
rnacentral:tRNA from 8 species